CUGUUAAAAAGAGGUUUCUGCAUGACACUGCCUGAUUGAUGGAACAACAAAAGAUCAUAACAAGAGUGGCUGGCCAUUUUGUUGACAUCUGGAUAGAUCUUCCUGCAGUAGUGUGGCUCCACCAAGUCAAUAGCAGCAGUUCCACCCAUAGAGGGCUGACUUGAUGGCACCUUUGUGGUAUCAAUGGCCUGGUUGUGUGCGUUCUUUCCUAAACCACAGCUUAAUUUUACAUUUGCCUUUACACUGAGUUCUUUUUCUCAGUCAGCAGUCCGUAAACUUGUGUUUAACAUCAAGCUUAUCUUAGCGUUUACAUUAAUAAACUGUGGAUUAUAUCAUA